rnacentral:snRNA from 1 species
UAGUGUUACAGCUCUUUUAGAAUUUGUCUAGCAGAAUUUCUGGUUUGGGCCAGAAAGUCCCU